CAAUUUCCAGUCGACGACAGGGGGCCUGCAGUGACACUGCCAUGGCUACACAGAGAGUCCGUAAGGUGCACCAGCGUCCAUCCUCUGAGGCUUCAGUAAAACUGUCUAUAGAGGAAUCAGGAGAAGAACCACCCCAGGAGACAGGUUUUCUUGCAUCUGCUAUUUCGGCAAAUCUUGACCGGGUACCUGUGGUAAUAUCGCCGGCUUACACCCAGCACAGGGAGAUGGCAGUCUUAGUUCUAGCCUACGCUGUCUGCAUUGCUAGCUCUGCGGCGACUCUGGUUGCCUACAGACAAUCCAUACGGGAUACACGGAGUCACCUCCGUUCUGGCCCCAUGCCGGCGAUACUUGACGAGACUUUGAGGUAUCCCAUUCAGGAGUCGGGAGAUGAUAACUGAACAGUCAACUGUUACUUUGAGGGACACUCCGGUAUCCGACGACUCAGUAACGAGCUUGUACAAUUAAUUUGUUUCUUCCGGCUUGAAAGUGUAUCAGAUUUUCGAUAUGAGCGUAAAAGUUAUCCAUCACGUGACGUGGUCGGGAUGCGGAAACAGAUGACAAAUCCUCAGCCAUUAUGUUAUCAGACAAUUUUCUUGUGUGUCAAAUCUGUUUGUGACUUAUUGAAUUAAACCUGUAGUUUUUUUAAUGAACAGAAUAAUUCUAGUCGAGUUUUCUC